rnacentral:rRNA from 1 species
GAUGAACGCUGGCGGCGUGCCUAAUACAUGCAAGUCGAGCGAACAGACGAGGAGCUUGCUCCUCUGACGUUAGCGGCGGACGGGUGAGUAACACGUGGAUAACCUACCUAUAAGACUGGGAUAACUUCGGGAAACCGGAGCUAAUACCGGAUAACAUGUUGAACCGCAUGGUUCAACAGUGAAAGACGGUCUUGCUGUCACUUAUAGAUGGAUCCGCGCCGCAUUAGCUAGUUGGUAAGGUAACGGCUUACCAAGGCAACGAUGCGUAGCCGACCUGAGAGGGUGAUCGGCCACACUGGAACUGAGACGCGGUCCAGACUCCUACGGGGGGCAGCAGUAGGGAAUCUUCCGCAAUGGGCGAAAGCCUGACGGAGCAACGCCGCGUGAGUGAAGAAGGUCUUCGGAUCGUAAAACUCUGUUAUUAGGGAAGAACAAAUGUGUAAGUAACUAUGCACGUCUUGACGGUACCUAAUCAGAAAGCCACGGCUAACUACGUG